AGAUUGAACGCUGGCGGCAGGCCUAACACAUGCACGUCGAGCGGCAGCACGGGUACUUGUACCUGGUGGCGAGCGGCGGACGGGUGAGUAAUGCCUAGGAAUCUGCCUGGUAGUGGGGGAUAACGCUCGGAAACGGACGCUAAUACCGCAUACGUCCUACGGGAGAAAGCAGGGGACCUUCGGGCCUUGCGCUAUCAGAUGAGCCUAGGUCGGAUUAGCUAGUUGGUGGGGUAAUGGCUCACCAAGGCGACGAUCCGUAACUGGUCUGGAGAGGAUGAUCAGUCACACUGGAACUGAGACACGGUCCAGACCU
rnacentral:rRNA from 1 species